rnacentral:lncRNA from 1 species
AGGGCAUCUUUGGGAGGCCAAAAUGGGCAGAUCCCCUGAGCUCAGAAGUUUGGGACCAGCCUGGGUAACAUUGUGAGACCCCAACUCUACAAAAACAUACAAAAAUUAGCCAGGUAUGAUGGUGCACGCCCAUAGCACCAGCUACUUGGAAGGCUGAGGUAGAAGACUGGUUUGAGCCCAGGAGGCCCAGGUUAGUAAGCCAAGAUCGUGCCACUGCACUCCAGUCUGAAUGACAGAGCCAGAUCCUGUGUCUGAGACCCUCAACCCCAGCCUCACCGUCUUGUUCCCUUCCCCCCACACCGGUUUUGGUUCCUCCUACUUCCCCAAUUCCUUCAUCCAAAUGCACAGCGAGGACCCUGGCUCCUCCCCAAAAGGCCUUGGCCCGGUCCUCCUUAGGGGGUGCAGGGGGUCCUGCUGGUCUGGACAGCAAGGCAGCCAGCGGGCAGGGAUAAUACCCCUCCCCUGGCCCAGGAGAGGGG